UGGUAUUUCUUCGGACAUUUUGCAAGGUGCUGCAUGGUUGUCGUCAGCUCGUGCCGUGAGGUGUCGGGUUAAGUCCCAUAACGAGCGCAACCCUACUUGUUAGUUGCCAUCAGGUCAUGCUGGGGACUCUAACAAAACUGCCCGCGUAAGCGUGGAGGAAGGUGGGGAUGACGUCAAAUCAGCACGGCCCUUACGUCCAGGGCUACACACGUGCUACAAUGGCCGGUACAGAGGGCAGCCACUUGGUGACAAGGAGCAAAUCUCAAAAGCCGGUCUCAGUUCGGAUCGGAGUCUGCAACUCGACUCCGUGAAGUUGGAUUCGCUAGUAAUCGUAGAUCAGCAAUGCUACGGUGAAUACGUUCCCGGGCCUU
rnacentral:rRNA from 1 species